rnacentral:rRNA from 1 species
UACGAAGGGGGCUAGCGUUGCUCGGAAUCACUGGGCGUAAAGGGUGCGUAGGCGGGUCUUUUAAGUCAGAGGUGAAAUCCUGGAGCUCAACUCCAGAACUGCCUUCGAUACUGCGGGUCUCGAAUCCGGGAGAGGUGAGUGGAAUUCCUAGUGUAGAGGUGAAAUUCGUAGAUAUUAGGAAGAACACCAGUGGCGAAGGCGGCUCACUGGCCCGGUACUGACGCUGGGGCGCGAAAGCGUGGGGAGCAAACAGG